UGCGACCCCAGGUCAGGCGGGAUUACC
rnacentral:rRNA from 1 species